GAUGAAGAACGUAGCGAAAUGCGAUAAGUAAUGCGAAUUGCAGAAUUUCCGUGAGUCAUCGAAUCUUUGAACGCACAUUGCGCCCAUUGGUAUUCCGAUGGGCAUGCCUGUUCGAGCGUCAUUUCAACCCUCAAGCCCCCGGGCUUGGUGUUGGGGAUCGGCGUGCCCUCGCGGCGCGCCGUCCCCUAAAUCUAGUGGCGGUCUCGCUGUAGCUUCCUCUGCGUAGUAGCAACACUCGCACUGGAUCGCAGCGCGGCCACGCCGUUAAACCCCCCACUUCUGAAAGUUUGACCUCGGAUCAGGUAGGAAUACCCGCUGAACUUAAGCAUAUCAAUAAGCGGAGGA
rnacentral:misc_RNA from 1 species